rnacentral:rRNA from 1 species
CCUACGGGAGGCAGCAGUGAGGAAUAUUGGUCAAUGGGCGCGAGCCUGAACCAGCCAAGUAGCGUGAAGGAUGACUGCCCUACGGGUUGUAAACUUCUUUUAUAAAGGAAUAAAGUGAGGCACGUGUGCCUUUUUGUAUGUACUUUAUGAAUAAGGAUCGGCUAACUCCGUGCCAGCCGCCGCGGUAAUACGGAGGAUCCGAGCGUUAUCCGGAUUUAUUGGGUUGAAAGGGAGCGUAGAUGGGUUGUUAAGUCGGUUGUGAAAGUUUGCGGGUCAACCGUAAAAUUGCAAUUGAUACUGGCAGCCUUGAGUGCAGUUGAGGUAGGCGGAAUUCGUGGUGUAGCGGUGAAAUGCUUAGAUAUCACGAAGAACUCCGAUUGCGAAGGCAGCCUACUAAACUGCAACUGACAUUGAUGCUCGAAAGUGUGGGUAUCAAACAGGAUUAGAUACCCUUGUAGUC